rnacentral:rRNA from 1 species
AACGAACGCUGGCGGCGUGGAUAAGACAUGCAAGUCGAACGCUGAUUUCGAGGGUAGCAAUAUUCUGGAGUCGGAGUGGCGCAAGGGUGCGUAACACGUGGGUAAUUUGCCAUGAAGCCCGGAAUAACUCGCUGAAAGGCGAGCUAAUACCGGAUGUGAUCGUUCGGGAGGCAUCUCCUGAACCUCAAAGCGUGGGGACCGUAAGGCCUGGCACUUCUUGA